GCAAGGGUUGGGGCUCAGUGGUAGAGCACUUGCCUAGCAUGCAUGAGGCACUGGGUUCAUUUCUCAGCACUGCA
rnacentral:tRNA from 1 species